UAGGGAAUAUUGGACAAUGGGGGCAACCCUGAUCCAGCCAUGCCGCGUGAGUGAAGAAGGCCCUCGGGUUGUAAAGCUCUUUUGUCCGGAAAGAAAAGCAUUCGGUGAAUACCCGGAUGUUCUGACGGUACCGGAAGAAUAAGCACCGGCUAACUACGUGCCAGCAGCCGCGGUAAUACGUAGGGGGCAAACGUUGUCCGGAUUUACUGGGUGUAAAGGGUGCUCAGGCGGAUUUGUAAGUAAGAGGUGAAAUCUUACAGCUUAACUGUGAAACUGCCUUUGAUACUGCAAGCCUAGAGUAUGGAAGAGAGUGAUGGAAUAUCUGGUGUAGCAGUGAAAUGCGUAGAUAUCAGAUAGAACACCAAUGGCGAAGGCAGUCACUUGGUCCAGUACUGACGCUAAAGCACGAAAGCGUGGGUAGCAAACA
rnacentral:rRNA from 1 species